rnacentral:rRNA from 1 species
UACGAAGGUCCCAAGCGUUAUCCGGAUUUAUUGGGUUUAAAGGGUGCGUAGGCGGUCUAUUAAGUCAGUGGUGAAAGCCCCAAGCUCAACUUGGGAACUGCCAUUGAUACUGAUGGACUUGAGUACAUUUGAGGUGGGCGGAAUGUGUCAUGUAGCGGUGAAAUGCUUAGAUAUGACACAGAACACCGAUUGCGAAGGCAGCUCACUAAACUGUAAACUGACGCU